rnacentral:rRNA from 1 species
CUUGCUCUGGUGGCGAGUGGCGAACGGGUGAGUAAUAUAUCGGAACGUACCCAGGAGUGGGGGAUAACGUAGCGAAAGUUACGCUAAUACCGCAUACGUCCUAAGGGAGAAAGCGGGGGAUCGCAAGACCUCGUGCUCAUGGAGCGGCCGAUAUCUGAUUAGCUAGUUGGUGGGGUAAAAGCCUACCAAGGCAACGAUCAGUAGCUGGUCUGAGAGGACGACCAGCCACACUGGAACUGAGACACGGUCCAGACUCCUACGGGAGGCAGCAGUGGGGAAUUUUGGACAAUGGGGGCAACCCUGAUCCAGCAAUGCCGCGUGAGUGAAGAAGGCCCUCGGGUUGUAAAGCUCUUUUGUCAGGGAAGAAAAGGGAUUGGCUAAUAUCCAGUCCUCAUGACGGUACCUGAAGAAUAAGCACCGGCUAACUACGUGCCAGCAGCCGCGGUAAUACGUAGGGUGCAAGCGUUAAUCGGAAUUACUGGGCGUAAAGCGUGCGCAGGCGGUUUUGUAAGACUGACGUGAAAUCCCCGGGCUCAACCUGGGAAUGGCGUUGGUGACUGCAAGGCUAGAGUUUGGCAGAGGGGGGUAGAAUUCCACGUGUAGCAGUGAAAUGCGUAGAUAUGUGGAGGAACACCGAUGGCGAAGGCAGCCCCCUGGGUCAAGACUGACGCUCAUGCACGAAAGCGUGGGGAGCAAACAGGAUUAGAUACCCUGGUAGUCCACGCCCUAAACGAUGUCUACUAGUUGUCGGGUCUUAAUUGACUUGGUAACGCAGCUAACGCGUGAAGUAGACCGCCUGGGGAGUACGGUCGCAAGAUUAAAACUCAAAGGAAUUGACGGGGACCCGCACAAGCGGUGGAUGAUGUGGAUUA